rnacentral:rRNA from 1 species
CAGGGGCAGUGCUGGGUAGCUAUAUUCGGACAGGAUAAGCGCUGAAAGCAUAUAAGCGCGAAACCCACCCUAAGAUUAGAUUUCCCUACCCUAGUGGUAAUAAGGCUCGUUGAAGACUACAACGUUGAUAGGCUACAGGUGUAAGUACAGUAAUGUAUUCAGCCGAGUAGUACUAAUUAGCCGAAUGGCUUUAUCAAA